rnacentral:lncRNA from 1 species
AAACUAAAAGUUCUAGAAUUUUCAGACUCCUGUUAGUUUCUGCUACCACUUAAGUGUUAAUAGCUAAUAAUAGAGCAAGCUUGAUUACUACCUUGGUGUCCUAAAACGGAUGUUGGCCUGCCAGGGAGCAGCCAAGGUGAAGUUUUCAACCAGGCCGACCAACUUCAGAGUCCACUGGCUUCAAAACAGUGCUUUACAUCCUCCUUCCAACAUUAUUCACAAGCCGAUCAAGACUGAGAGAGUCACAAGUGUGUGAAACCUGUAUUCUUUCUGACUUCAUUUUCCCUGGUCCCAGAAGGCUGCAUAUGGAACUGACCUGGACUUAAUCUACAAGAUAGAUAC